rnacentral:rRNA from 1 species
UACAGAGGUGGCAAGCGUUGUUCGGAAUUACUGGGCGUAAAGGGCGCGCAGGCGGCAGACCAAGUCAGGCGUGAAAGCCCCGGGCUCAACCUGGGAACUGCGUUUGGGACUGGUUUGCUAGAGAUCGGGAGAGGAGAGUGGAAUUCCCAGUGUAGAGGUGAAAUUCGUAGAUAUUGGGAAGAACACCGGUGGCGAAGGCGGCUCUCUGGACCGAUACUGACGCUGAGGCGCGAAAGCGUGGGGAGCAAACAGG